ensembl:lncRNA
GGAGAGGUUGAGCGUAGAGGAAGGAGAUCAGUAAUAGAUGGUUGAGGGUAGAGGAAGGACAUCAGUAAUAGAUGGUUGAGGGUAGAGGAAGGACAUCAGUAAUAGAUGGUUGAGGGUAGAGGAAGGACAUCAGUAAUAGAUGGGAGAGGUUGAGGGUAGAGGAAGGACAUCAGUAAUAGAUGGGAGAGGUUGAGGGUAGAGGAAGGAGAUCAGAAAUAGAUGGUUGAGGGUAGAGGAAGGAGAUCCGAAAUAGAUGGGAGAGGUUGAGGGUAGAGGAAGGAGAUCAGUAAUAGAUGGGAGAGGUUGAGGGUAGAGGAAGGACAUCAGUAAUAGAUGACAGAGGUUGAUGGUAGAGGAAGGAUAUCAGAAAUAGAUGGGAGAGGUUGAGGGUAGAGGAAGGACAUCAGUAAUAGAUGGGAGAGGUUGAGGGUAGAGGAAGGAGAUCAGAAAUAGAUGGGAGAGGUUGAGGGUAGAGGAAGGAGAUCAGAAAUAGAUGGUUGAGGGUAGAGGAAGGAGAUCCGAAAUAGAUGGGAGAGGUUGAGGGUAGAGGAAGGAGAUCAGUAAUAGAUGGUUGAGGGUAGAGGAAGGACAUUAGUAAUAGAUGGUUGAGGGUAGAGGAAGGACAUCAGUAAUAGAUGGUUGAGGGUAGAGGAAGGACAUCAGUAAUAGAUGGUUGAGG